UAAAAUCAACUCUUUUCUUUUUGUAACUCAACCUUAUUUUUUCAAAAUCCCAACCCUCACUCAUUCUUGUCUUCAUGAUCCUCUUACCCCAACCCUAACCCUUAGAAUCUCAAUCUCCCCAACGCACAAAGGAUGGCGUUCAUGUUAGGAGGAAGUCCUUGACAAACUCAAUGGCGGUUGGUGAAUCGAUCUAGUUUGACCUUGACGUUGGUGGAUGCGGCAAGGAGGAUGGUGGCUUCAAGGGCGGAACUACAAACAUCUCAAAAGGGGCAUCCGUCCCUCCUAAAAAAUCACAAUUCAUUAGUAACUGCACCUAAAAUAGAAAAUUUUGUCCCCCUCAGCUUUUAACAUGUUAAGUUUAAUAUUACAACUUUCUUCUUCAUGUCUCCUUUACAUAAUCAUGUGUUAAUUUUUUCGUCUCCCUUAACUUUUUUCUCUAGUUCCGCCCCUGGGUGGCUUGGAUGCUUUGAUGGUUGAUAGAGUUAAUUGGUUGGUGUUGGAGCCAAUGUAGGGAGUAGUUUUUGAAGAAAAAAAGAUUUUUUGGAAUUUUAGUUUAGGAGAUGCGUUUUGCAUAGAAUUUAUCAUAGGGAUUUCGUGACAAAGAGGUUAGAAAAAAAUAGAGAUGAGCAUAAUGUGGUGAAGCUUUAGUAGAGAUGUGAGUCUCUAAUUGAUGGCAAGGUUUACGAGAUUGCAAGUUUAUGGUGCUGCUUCUGCGAAUGACUUCAGAACCUUGAUGGUUGUUUAAGGAAGGUGGGUUAGAGCAAUAUUUGCGGAUGGUGGAGGAGGACGGGUUUCAUGUGGCUUGGUGAUAAGCAAUUAGAAGAUGAAUUUGAUGAUGCAUUGCAAUGGUCACUAACAUGGAGCUUUUCUCGUAUUAAUGGUGGUGUUUCAAGGGGUAUUUAAAAGCACCAAAAGAAUGUUAGACAAAGGACAUGGAAGUCCAAGAGGGGG
rnacentral:lncRNA from 1 species